GAGCUUAACAACUCCCAAACCCCUGUGAACAUACCACCGUUGCUUCGGCGGCCACGCCCCGGGCGCUCGAGAGGGCGCCCCGGAACCAGGCGACCGCCGGGGGAAACCAAACCCCUGUAUUAUCUGUAUCGUCUGAGUGGAUUAUUAAAUAAAUCAAAACUUUCAACAACGGAUCUCUUGGCUCU
rnacentral:misc_RNA from 1 species